AAAUACAAGCAUUUGUGGUGAAACUAGCCAACUAAACCAUGUCCACAUAUUUGUUCUAUAAAUUUGGCCUCUAAUAAGCCAAGUGCAACAACUUAGUACUAUAGUACAAAGCAACAGUUGAAAAUAGAAACAGGAUUUCAUCAUACUAGCUAGUUCAAGGGUUCAACUAAUAUAGACAGUAUCACCACCGUCAGAAUGAGGAAUUCUCCGGCAAUAUCCACGGCGGAAUCCGGCAACGGAAGUGGAAUUAGAUGGUUUUCCAGCGUGGCACACGCCGGGAAGAAGGCAUACAUGGAUAAUCAAAAGCGGAGGGAGGUUGAGAAGGCUGAGAAAGUCAUGCAUCUUAUCUGUUGGGGACCCAAAUAGUCCAUCUCUUAGUGACCUCAGUAAGUUGUUGUGCUCUUGUUCGAGUAUUGAGAAUGAAAAUAUUUUUGUCAAAUAAAAAGAAGUGGUCGUCUUAUUUCUUUAGUGUGUCUAUUACAUUGAAGUCGAAUUAAUCGGGUCAGUAGAUUUCAUAUGAUCAUAUGGAAUGAUUAAAUAAAAAUUAGAUUAUGUUUUUUUUCCUUUACUUUUUGGGGUUUUAUUAGUUCGUAUGGUCUAAUGGGGUUGUCGAAAUAUUUAUGUUUGCUCUGUCCAGGGAGUUUGUAAUUAAUUAUGUAUAGUCAAAUGAAGAAGUGAAGAUGUGUAUGUUUAGGGAUGUGCACGAUUUGGUCGUAGAUGUUUUGCCUAAAUUUUCCAAAUUGAACAAAAUAUGUGCUAUUUUCAGAAAUACAAAAUGGAAAGGAAACCAGUGUACUAGUAAUUUCUAACUUCAUCACUUUGGACGAUUCGACUUGAUUUGAGUUAUUAGUUCUGUGGUUUUACAAUUAAUUAAAUAGAAAAACCUUAACCUAAAAACAAACAUAAAGUUAUGACUAUAUUAAAAAAGUGUCUCGUUUCAUUCGCCCUCACCAAUGUGUUGGCUUUUAGGUUUCACUAACUAGCGCCGUUGUUAAGGAUAGUCCGAAGCAUUUAGCGCUUGGUGCUAGUAGCGAAUAAAGGUGUCACAACGGUUUCAUAUGCAUGAAUGUGAAUUAAGAGAAGAGAGUGACUCGAUCGAUUUCCUAGACUAGCCAUUGGCCUACGAUGAGCUCUUUACUUUAACUACUUAGGAAAGAUAAUGUAUAAGGGUUGUUGACCAGGGGACGGAAUCCAAACUUCGCAGAGUUAACACUCCUCUAUCGAAUGAGAUAAAGCUCAAUGGCAAUCACAACAAAUACUGGGACCCCUUCUCCCUCGGGCUAAAGCCUUGAUAUAUAUCCGAUCUUAUGGUGUGCUAAAGAGUGGGCCUAGUAUCCCAGGGAUUGAUUAAACAGGUAAAGGUAAACGCUUACGCCCCUCGACUUGUGCUGGUAUUAGGCUACUGAAGCUGCUUUUGUAUGAUUGAUGGAAGACCUUCUUAUCAUUUCUGUUAUGAACGCCUACGCCCCUCGACUUGUGCUGGUAAACAAAUUUCAUGUAGAGACAGAGCCAUAAUUUGAGGCUUGUGGGUUCGGAAUUCUAGUUUGUUUAUGUUAUUGGGUUCUAAAUUUGUUUACCCUAAAAACAGUAUUUAUAUGUGGUUUUAAGGAUAAGUGGGUUAAUUCAAUACAAGUGAUUAAUGACGUUAGAUUAAGUAAAUAAAAGACGUAAUAAAUGACCAAACUCAUUGAUAAGGGUGAUUCCGAGCUCGGUUGAUGGCUCAAUGAAGAACCUGCCCUCAAUUCUAAGCUUGCACUUACGAAGAACUUAAGAACAAAAAUAAGAACUUUGAACAACAAAGAGAAUUGAAAUAAAUUGCCUUGAUUUACAUGAUACGGUGUGUCCCAUGAAUAAUAAGCUUUCCCCUUGAUAUAGUAGGAGAAUUUUACCCUAAGUAUAAUUCUAAGAAAGGUAAUAAUCUUCUAUUUCGCUAAUCACUGAUUUUCUGUCAAAACGGGCCGAGAUUCAUGCCGCGAUAUCUAGUAGGGUACGGACAUUACAACCUUUUAUUAGUUGUGUGCAGCCGUUUGGUAAUGUUCUUUAAGUCUUAAUCCUUGAACCGGACCAGGAAAGCAUGACCCUCACACCUCCUUUUUACACACCUACUUCGAAGGAUAAAGUAUAAGAGACUUUUUCUAAUUUAAGUGACACUAUUCGAAAUGAGACUAUUUAUUUAUUGAGAAUUGCCACUUGGGAUGGUUUAUUUUCUGGUGUCCCAAGUCACCGGUUUAUUUUUAAAUCCCAAAUCGAGGAAGAUUUCGACUUUCUUUUUGAAGUCUGCGAACCAGAAAUUCUGAAUAAGGAAUUCUGAUUACCCGAGGGAAGGUGUUAGGCACCUCCGAAUUCCGUGGUUCUAGCACGGCCGCAUAAACUAUUAUAAUUGGCUAAAAUUCAGAUUUUUGUACAUGUUCAUCCUAUUGUGCAAUUUUAAAUUACUUAUCACUUUUACUUAAUUUUUAGGAAUAUUACAACGUUACUAAAACACGUCUCGAACCACGUCACAUAAAUGCACUCGUAGUUUUUGACGUAUAAUAACAUAGUUUAAAUUUGGAUUUGUGUCACAUAAAUGCACACCCGUGUUUAGGAAAGUAAUUUUAAAUUAUGUGCCUAACCAAUUAAAAUGUUGUUAACUUUGCGAGGGCCAUGAAAAUUCAAUUAAAUGAUACACCUCGAAUUCUAAGGAUUGAAUUAAGUGAGUGCCAUGCAAUUUGUGAUAAUGUUUGGCAUGGCACGCCUUAAUUUCUUUCAAAGAAAUUUGUAUUCGACUUUAAUAACCGAUUGUACAAAUACUAAUGUGCCAUUUUUAACAGAUCUUUACAAUUAUAACCCAACACUUAAUACUACCUUAUACAAUUAGCAACCAAAUAAACUUGUCCUUCAGAAGUUGAACAAAGUGCAGCAAAUUCGUCAAUUUCCUCUAAGCACAAACCACAAUUAAAACAUCCACCUACUGUACUGCUUACCUUCAAAUACAAGUAACAAAUCUUACAACAUGAUUUUAAAUAAAUAAGGAAAUUGCAAAUUUAAAUAAAUUAGAGGUGAUAUCACAGAACUUAUAAGAUAACACAAACUCCAUGCUUUGAGAAUUCAAAUAAGUAGCAACCAACCUGGUCACACAGAUCGCAGCUGCGAAUCAUUCAUGUUGAAAUCAAAGUCACCCAUGAACGGACCUCGAACUAGCGACCUCGCACGUCAACUUCGAAUUGCCGGGAACCUCAAACUGCGAUCUCAACUCUGUUGGCCCAACGUUGCAGCUGCUGAUGCACCACCAACGCGAGCUAAGGCAGUAGCAUCAGUAGGUAUCGAGAGAAAAGGAGAAGCCAGUAGAAGCUCGGAUGAGUGAAAGGAUCGACGAAGCUUGAAAAUCUGGUGCGUGACUGAUUUUGGCGUUCUUUGUGUGAGUCUGUUUAUAUGGGUGUGUGUUUUUCCAGCGAGUCCAUCGCAACAGUGAGAGUAGGGAGAUGAGGUGAAGGUCGGGCUGGUUGUUGUCGUGAUGAAGAGUUGGCGAAGCGAGGCGAUUGGUUUCCGGCGAGGGUCGUUUUUGGUUGAAGCUGGAGAUGGUGUGUGUGUUUUUUUGUGAAAAAGAAAGCCACCUGCUUCGCUGAAGAAAAAUUGCAGGAGUCUAUUUGUAUAGAUUGUGUGUAUAGGAGUGUAUCUUCAAGAGAAGCCCCAGCCGCCGGCCCUUCUUCUGUCUACAUUGUGUAUUAGAAUGUCUAGGGUGUAUAUUAGGUGUACAUAGUAUUAUAUAGGGUAAGGAUUAGGAUAGGGGUAUGGACAUAUGGAUUAUGGGCUAGGGAAUAGACUUGAGUUAUGUGGGUUUAGGUAGAAAAAUUAUGGUUUGGACUAGUUUAGUUUUAAAAAAGGGUCCAUUACUUAAAUUAAAAUCCCAUUGCAAUUAAAUCCUUAUUCUUUUUUCUUUUCUUUUUUUUAAUUAACAAUAAUAGAAAUUAAAACUUCUAAAUUAAUCUAUUUUUUGUAGAAAUUAAAAUUCUUUAUUUAUUUUUUAACAUUAAAACAAGUACUUAACUUAAAACUAAAAAAAAUGCUAAUUUAAAGACUAAGAUGAAUAUGUAAAAAUGAUAAUUUUUUAGGAUAUUUCUAUAAUUUAAAAAUGUUAAAAACACAUGAAAUGCAAAUAAAAUAAAAUAAAAUAAUUCCUUAAAUUAAUAAAAUUAUUUUGGUAUAUUUUUAAGAGUUAUUCUCAUGUAGGGCAAAAAUCACGUGCUUACAGCUGCCCCUCUUUGCUCGGAAACACGAAGAGUUUUCGUACAAAGAUAAAGUGAGCAUAUACGAGCAAUUUUGCCCGUUUAAAUACUCCAUGAGAAGUAUUUUUAAAAGAUUUGAGCACACCCUGCUUCUGAGGUUGCCUACAUAUCCUUGGCUAUAAAGGAAUCAGGUCAGUGUAGUUCAGGAAGUGAGUGAGAUGAAGGACUGAGGUUGAGAUCCGGCCGAAGUGUCGUCGAGGUUCCGGUCCCCCGGUCCCGUUUAUUACAUCAAAAUCAAAAUUAAAAAAGACUAAGUAAGCCUAUGAGCUACGAGUUACAAGAUUCCUAUCUAUAAAUCAUUUGAAGCUUGAUCUUGAGUUUUAGCUAGGUCCUGCUGUAGAUUCAUAUCUAAAUCUUGAUGCUCGUUAGUUGUAGGUGCUAGUUCUUUCUUCAACUUUGGAUCAACGCGGGACAUGCAAAACUUGUGAGUUUGAAUCAAAUUUGAGCAGUCCCUUGGCUAGGUCUUGCUGCAGACUCUGAUCUGAAUCUUGAUGCCCGUCAGCUGCAUGUGCUGGUUCUUUCUUCAAUGUUUGGAUCAAAGCAGGACAUGCCAAAUUUGUGAUUUUGAAUCAAAUUUGAGCAGUCCGCAUCCUUUUCCUCUUUGAACAUUCUGAGUUCGUUUCUUUUUAUUCUUUUCUUAUUUUCCUUUAUUCUGGAUUGAGUCUCAUGCUUUCGGUCAUCUCGAAUCCUUUGCCUUGAGGUAAAACCUGUUCAGACACCAAAACAAACAAAUGAACGAAAUUUUUCUGCCCCGAUUUUCACUGAAAAAUUUCGUGAGUUAUUUCCAACACAAAUCUAAGCUAUUUUUUAUUGAAAACCAUAAAAGUCAGGAUUGUGUAUCCUUUGGAAAGAUUGCGAGGUUAUACUGGAAAAGAGAAAGGGUCCCUGCUGGGGGUAAGAGGAGGAUGCACGGGUUAUGGCGGGAUCAGAAUGAAGAGUCCCUGCUGGAGAUGAAAGAAAAAAUCCACGGGUUAUGCUGGGAUGAAAUGAAAAACAUUCCUGGGUUAUGCCAGGGGGUCCACGGGUUAUGCCGAGAGAAGAAGGCUCCAGGGUUAUGCUAGGGGGAUCUGCGGGUUAUGCCGGGAUAUGAGGAAAAGGGGUCUAAUGGGAUAGAAAGAAAAUGAUUAUCGGGCCAUGCCGGGGAAGAAAAGAAAAAGACCCUCAGGUUAUGCCGAGGAUAAAAGGAAAAUGACCCUCGUGCUAUGCGGGGGAGGGGGGAGAAAAGACCCUGAGGUUAUGCUGGAAGGAAAAGAAAAGACCCUCGGGUUAUGCCGGGGAGAAAAUAAAAAAAAAAGAUGAUCCUCGGGUUAUGCCGAGGAGGUCCACGGGUUAUGCCGGGAUAAAAGGGAAAAGGUCCUAUGCUACCAUGAUUUUGGAUUUUUUUUUGAAUUAUCCUAGGAGAAAAUUUGUCAGACUAGGUUUUCUAUCUUAGGAGAAAGAUUCAUCAGGCUAAGAUAUUUAUCCUAGGAGAAAAUUCAUCAGACUAGGUCUCUUCUCUUUUUUUUUUUGGUAUCUUUGGAGAAAGAUUCAUCAGACUAAGACUUGAUCCUAGGAGAAAGAUCAUCACACUAGGUCUUCUAUCUUAGGAGAAAGAUUCAUUUGACUAAGAUUUUGACCCUAGGAGAAAAUUCAUCAGACCAUGUUUCUUUUUGGUACCUUAGGAGAAAGAUUCAUCAGACUAAGAUUUUGACCCUAGGAGAAAAUUCAUCAAACUAGGUUUAUUUUUGGUAUCUUAGGAGAAAGAUUCAUCAGACUAAGAUUUUGAUCCUAGGAGAAAAUUCAUCAGACUAGUAGCAAAUUCAUCAGACUAGGUCUUCUAUCUCAUGAGAAAGAUUCAUCAGACUAAGAUUUCGAUCCUAGGAGAAAAUUCAUCAGACCAGGUCUGGUAUCUCAGGAGAAAGAUUCAUUAGACUAAGAUUUUGAUCCUAGGAGAAAAUUCAUCAGACUAGGUUUUAUAUCUUAGGAGAAAGAUUCAUCCGACUAAGAUUUUGAUCCUAGGAGAAAGUUCAUCAGACUAGNNNNNNNNNNNNNNNNNNNNNNNNNNNNNNNNNNNNNNNNNNNNNNNNNNNNNNNNNNNNNNNNNNNNNNNNNNNNNNNNNNNNNNNNNNNNNNNNNNNNNNNNNNNNNNNNNNNNNNNNNNNNNNNNNNNNNNNNNNNNNCUUCUAUCUUAGGAGAAAAAUUCAUCAGACUAAGAUUUUGAUCCUAGGAGGAAAUUCAUCGGACUAGGUUUCUUUUUUGGGUAUCGAAGGAGAAAAAUUCAUCAGACUAAGAUUUUAUUGGGAGGAAAAAUCAAUCAGACUAGGACUUUUUCCUAGGAGGAAAAAAUGUAAAAUGGCAAAUAAAGGUAAAGAUUCGAGAAACUUCCCUUUGUCGGCUCUUCUCUUCUUUUCUUUUCUUCUUUUUUGUCUUUGUUUGUUUCUUCUUCUUCUUCUUCUUCUUCUUCUUCUUCUUCUUCUUCUUCUUCUUCUUCUUCUUCUUCUUCUUUUUUUUUUUUGUUGUUGUUUUUGUUCAUUUUUUUUGAACCAUUUUCCUUGCGCUGCUUUGUUCCUGCUGCAAAUAAAGAACAAUUUGUCAGUUUUGAAAAUGCUGGUCGGUUAGUGGACUUGAGUCUUGAGCAGCUUGGCUUUUUCUCGAUCAGCCCGAGUCGGUUUUAAGAGACCUUUGUUCUGUACCAACUCUGAUUGUUCCGCACCCAGUACCAUUUGUAUUUGUGGCUCAAUCAGCCUUGUCCCUAUUAGAGAUCUUGGCUCAGGUGACCUUUUCUGAUAUCUUCAAUGACUUUGUGCUUUUUGAGCUAUUUGUCUGUCAGAGAAAAUCACAAGUUAUCUGUGCUUGCGCCAAGCAGGCUGACAAGAGUCUUUUGGGGGAGCCCUUGCAUGAAUCCUCAAGGCAUGCUGACAGUAACAACUGAGCGCACUAGCCAAAUUUGCUUUGUGCAACUGAAAAGGUGGUAGCCUAUUAUGAAAUCUUUUCUUGCUUGUUUUGACAAGGAUGGACUCAAAGUGAAGGACACAAUGAUGCAAAGAAACGAAUAUUAAAAAGAAAUGCCCCCUGUUGGAAGGACAAAAGGAAGAUUUUUUUUUAUAAUAGCCUUAAUGAUAAUGACAUGCAUUUUAGACUCAAUGGCCUGAUUUAUCAACUAAUCCAAUCUUCCAUUUUAGCAUUCUUAUGAUUUCUAAUGUCGGACUUGCUUAUGCCAAUUCUUCGCAUUAGCUUUAUGCCUCACUUUCGACUAGUGGUACCCGAGGGGUUUUCACCAGCAAGUCUCUCUCAUCUAUUCAUCUCUACUUACAGUCGUCGUGCAGUGCCCGUGAGGGUUUUCAUUAAUAAGACUCUCUUUUUUUUUCUUUUUUUUUUUUGCUUUUUUCUUUUUCUUUCCUCCCUUUUUUUGCGAGCAACUUGACAGUGUUCUAUGUCGUGUGACACCCGUUGCUCAUUGCCCGCUUUUCUUGGCAUUCUUGAAGGAUGAUCAUGAGGUCUUUAUUUGGAAGGUUUUUGGAUAGGGUUGAACAGAAGGGUCGGCAUGAAGGCUCAAAGUGGACUUAAAAUGAAGGGUUGUGGACUUACAACUCUUAGAAUCGACUCUUUCAAAAGUGAAAUAAAACCUUUUCCCCAGUUUCAACCAUUGGGGAUUUAUUUUUCUUGAAUUCUUAUUUGGUUGGACUGAACCAUGAGGCGGCCUACGUAUCCUUUUUAAAGGAAUCAGGUCUAACGUAGUUCAAAACAUCUGGUGUGAACUAUUUUUCAUCUUUCUUUCUAUUUCUCUUUUCAUUUUUCUUUUUUGCGGACUUACAACUCUUGGAAUCAACUCUUUCAAAAGUGAAAUAAAAUGUUUUGUCCAGUUUCAGAUAGUAGGGAUUUUAAUUUUUUUUUUGAAUUCUUAUUUGUUUGGAUCGAACCGUGAGGCUGCCUACGUAUCCUUUUUUUAAAGAAUCAGGUCUACGUAGUUCAGACAUCUAAUCUAAACUAUUUUUCAUCUUCCUUUCUGUUUCUCUUUUCAUUUUUUAUUUGUUUUUUUUGAAUUCUUUUUUUUUUUUGCUUUUUCAUUCAUUUUUUUCGUUUGCCCUAACUUCUAUUUUCUCUUGUUAUGCACAGACUCGUGAGAGUAUGAGGUUUCUAAAAAUAUAAAUUACACAUGAUUCCGAGACAUUGGCCCGAGGGUUGUUUUUUCCACUUUACAUAAUUUCACGUAGUAGCUUAGAAUUUAAUUAUAGAAUCAGUUACUUGAGGUGUUAUUCACAAUAUGUAAUUGAAUUGAAUAGAUUGGGCCGUUUGGAGAUGGAUACUCAUGGCAAAAGUGUGGGUUCUAGUUGAUUUUGAGCCGGUUCGAGUUAAGUGACAUGUCUAACGUUGUGUAGGGGACUUUUCCCCUUAGGAUAUGAUAUUUGGUAAUUGAAUUGCCUUGUGCACGAGGUGAUGAGCGCGUACUUGUGCAAAUUGUUGGAAAUCCGAUUUUUCUUGAAGUACUUAUUAGCAUGUUUUCCCUUCUUGCUUUAUUACACUUGCAAAUUUAGCAUGUUGCUCGUUAGAAGAGGAUGUUUAGUUGACUUAAAUUUCUAUUUACUUAAAUUGCCUUGCUUGCAUUAUAUGAAGCAUGUUAGGCUAGGACUAAUUUUUGCCUUAAUAUGAAAUUUCAUUCCUUGAAUAUCUUCUUGUUGUUGUUGCGUAUUUACAUUGAGACUACGGAUUUGGGAUUCUGGUAGCUCCCCCUGUCCCCUGUCUGUUUACUUUGGGACUACGGGUUAGAUUCCUAGUAGAUUUCCCUGCAUAUUUACUUUGAGACUACGGGUUAGAUUUCCGAUAGAUCUCCCUGCAUAGUUAUAUGGAACUACGGGAAUGCACCCGGUAGAUUCCCCCAGUACUGGGUAUUUACAUUUGAGACUAUGGACUAGGGUUUCGGUAGAUCCCUGUGCAUUAAUAGUUGGACAACGGAACGAUAUCCCGGGAGAUCCUUCGAAUAUAUACAUAUGAUGGACUACGGGAAGAUAUCCUGGGAGAUCCGCUGAACAGUUGAUAAAAGGGACUAUAGGACGGUAUCCUAGGAGAUCCCCGUGUUACUAUUGGUAUUGAGCUAUUCUGCUAUCCCAAUUUACUCUGCUCUUUGAUAUAAUUGUUAUUGCAUGGUAUAACCUGCCUUUGUUCAUUGUUGUUCUAAUUUAUAUUGUGUAUUUCAUACUAUUGAAACUUAUUAUUAUGUUUAAUCUCAGUAGGACCCCGACCUUCCUCGUCAUUAAUCGACCGAGGUUAGUCUUGACACUUACUAAGUACCAUUGUGGUGUACUCAUGCCCUUUCUGCCCAUGUUUUUCAUGUGUAGAUCCAGGUACCCCUACCCAGGAAUAUCACCCUUGAGGCGGAGAGAUCUAACAGGACUUCGAGGUAUAUCUGCCGCGUCCACAGACCAAGAAGUCUCUAUCUUGUUCUAUCUUUUAGCAGUUAGUGUUCCUUUCUUACUAUUGUUUUAGACAUUCUGGAGUAAGAGCAUUGUACUAUAUUUCCUUCAGCUUGUGUUCCUGUGAGUUUCCGGGUUUUGGGAUAAUAUUGUAGGCUUCUGCGAUAUUGAGUUGUAUAUGCCGAGCAACUUUAUAUCAAUUUUCCUCUAGCUGUUCAAAUUUGAAUUAUUUAUUUCUGCAUUGUUAGGAUUACUUAGUCGUAAGGACUAGGUGCCAUCACGACAUGUUCACGGAGGGCAAAUUGGGGUCAUGACAAGUUGUUAUCAGAGCUCUAGGUUCAUAGGAGUCACGGAACACAAGCCGGUUUAUUAAACUGUCAUUGAUCAGUACAGAGACGUUUGUACUUAUCUACAAGAGGCUAUAUAACUGUUAGGAAAAUUUCAUUUCAUUUGAUUUCCUGGUCGUGCGAGAUUUUGAUAUUACAACUAAAGUUCUGUCUUUCUAUUCUCUCAUAGAUGGUGAGGACACGUGCCACUCGAGACGUCAG
rnacentral:lncRNA from 1 species